AUUGAACGCUGGCGGCAGGCCUAACACAUGCAAGUCGAGCGGCAGCGGAAAGUAGCUUGCUACUUUGCCGGCGAGCGGCGGACGGGUGAGUAAUGUCUGGGAAACUGCCUGAUGGAGGGGGAUAACUACUGGAAACGGUAGCUAAUACCGCAUAACGUCGCAAGACCAAAGAGGGGGACCUUCGGGCCUCUUGCCAUCAGAUGUGCCCAGAUGGGAUUAGCUAGUAGGUGGGGUAACGGCUCACCUAGGCGACGAUCCCUAGCUGGUCUGAGAGGAGGACCAGCCACACUGGACCUGAGACACGGUCCAGACUCCUACGGGAGGCAGCAGUGGGGAAUAUUGCACAAUGGGCGCAAGCCUGAUGCAGCCAUGCCGCGUGUAUGAAGAAGGCCUUCGGGUUGUAAAGUACUUUCAGCGGGGAGGAAGGCGUUGUGGUUAAUAACCACAGCGAUUGACGUUACCCGCAGAAGAAGCACCGGCUAACUCCGUGCCAGCCGCCGCAGUAAGAC
rnacentral:rRNA from 1 species